GUUGACCUCGGAUCAGGUAGGGAUACCCGCUGAACUUAAGCAUAUCAAUAAGCGGAGGAAAAGAAACCAACAGGGAUUGCUCUAGUAACGGCGAGUGAAGCAGCAAUAGCUCAAAUUUGAAAUCUGGCGUCUUCGGCGUCCGAGUUGUAAUUUGUAGAGGAUGCUUCUGGGCAGCCACCGACCUAAGUUCCUUGGAACAGGACGUCAUAGAGGGUGAGAAUGCACCGUAUGCUG
rnacentral:rRNA from 1 species